AAAACAAGCUGGGCAAUCGCGUGCCAUAAGGCCCGAGGAAAGUCCGGACUCCGCAGAGCAGGGUAGCGGCUAACAGCCGUCCGUCUAGUAAUAGGCGAGGAAUAGGGCCACAGAGACGAGUCUACUAUGUGGGUUGUGGUGACAUGACACUGGUACGGCGACUUCCGUAUGGCACUAUGCAAGUAGUAGCAUAGUAGGGUGAAACGCGGUAACCUCUAUCUGGAGCAACAUCAAAUAGGCAUGCAUUAAGGGCUGCUCGUCCGAGUAUGCGGGUAGAUGGCUUGAGCUUACUAGUAAUAGUAAGCCUAGAGGAAUGAUUGCCAACCUUUCGGGGUUUACAUAAUCCGGCUUAUAGGCUUGUUUUGCUU
rnacentral:RNase_P_RNA from 1 species